CAUGUACGCUGGUAAACUGGCCAGCUGGGAAAAGGAGCUGAAAGUCCUUUACCAUGGCGGAUUUCAAGCUACCUACCUGGCGGCAGUGAAGGUGGAGCUGGAAAGCGAGCCACGAACCAGCUCCCAAAGCUGGUGGGAUGGCUCUUGUGCAGCAUCGGACAGCCCGGACAGUGCGUUGCCUUCCACAAGGCCCAUCCGGGAAGGGACCGGGUCCUGCUGGCUUUUGGAUGACGGUGGCUUCCUGGGUUUCCCACCCUGUUCUGUACCUGUGAAGUGGCAGGUCUGGCUUUGUCUGAAACAUUAAGAACCUGGAUAUCAUCACAGAAGUCAUCCCAUGGCAUUUAUUGUGGUGAGCCAAGCCAGAAGAAUGAUGGAAGCUUCAUAAAAUGAAUUUGGAAGGUUUCCUUCCUUUUGAAUCUUCAGAAAUAACUAGAGAUAAAAGCAGCCGAAGCAAGAUGAGUCAAAGUCAGAGUGGCGGUCAUGGUCCUGGAGGUGGCAAGAAGGAUGACAAGGACAAGAAAAAGAAGUAUGAACCUCCUGUCCCAACUAGGGUCAGGGAAAAAAAAGAAGAAAAUUAAGGGACCAGAUGCUGCCCACGAACUGCCACUGGUGACACUUCACACACAGUGCCAGUUAAAAUGAUUGAAAUUAGAGAGAAUUAAAGACUACCUUCUCAUGGAAGAACAAUUUAUUAGAAAUCAGAAGCAGAUGAAACCAUUAGAAGAAAAGCAAGAGGAGGAAAGAUCAAAGGUGGGUGAUCCGAGGUGGACCCCGAUGUUUGCAGGAGCCUUGGAAGAGAUCAUUGAUGAUAAUCAUGCAAUAGUGUCUACAUCUGUGGGCUCAGAACACUAUGUCAACAUUCUUUCAUUUGUAGACAAGGAUCUGUUGGAACCAGGCUGCUCGGUCCUGCUCAAUCACAUGUAGUGGUAGGGGAACUGAUGGAUGACAUGAGUCCCUUGGUCACAGUGAUGAAGGUGGAAAAGUCCCCACAGGAGACCUUUGCUAAUAUUGGGGGGCUGGACAACCAAAUCCAGGAGAUUAAGGAAUCUGUGGAGCUUCCUCUCACCCAUCCUGAAUAUUAUAAAGAGAUGGGUAUAAAGCCCCCCCAGGGGGUCAUUCUCUAUGGUCCCCUGGCACAAGAAAAACCUUGUUAGCCAAAGCUGUUGCGAACCAAACUUCAGCCACUUUCUUGAGUGUUGUUGGCUCUGAACCGAUUCAGAAGUACCUGGGUGAUGGGCCCAAACUUGUCUGGGAAUUCUUUCAAGUUGCUGAAGAGCAUGCACCAUUCAUUGUGUUUAUUGAUGAAAUUGAUA